rnacentral:tRNA from 1 species
CCCUCUGUAGCUCAAUAGCAAAGCACCCGCCCGAUAAGCGGAAGACCGCGGCGCAAUACCGUGCGGAGGGACCA